UCCUCAUCCACAGCAGAGUUCAAAAUGAGCACAGAUUCCCCACAGAGCAAGUGCUAUGAACAAUGCAGCAGAUCAUCUGCCUCUGGAUUUUCUUUCUACUGUCAGGAAGUCUCCUUCUCCAUAGUUAGGAAAAGGGAUGCCUACAGCCACAGAUGCAGAUCCUCCUGGUGGCUACUGCACCUGGAACUGGCAGCACAUCACAGAGCAGACACAAGACUAACAAUGGAACUAUUCUGGGCAACGUUGUCAUUAAGAGACACACUACAAUUUCCAAAGAAUGCUUCUUUUUGAAACAAGGGAAAAAAGCCUAUUUAACUUCAGGGAAAGUGAGACGAUUCCCUUAAAUUGAAAGACAGCAUUAAAGAAAAAUUGUCUUUCCUUAAAAACCAAUUAUUUUGAGAAAUCUUUGACUAUUUAAAUGAGAUUCAAUUUCUAAAAGGUCAUCCUUGAGAAAUUUUUCCUUUCUAAAAAAAGUUUUACUUCCAACAAACCAGGUAUAACAUAAAAUGACACAUUUUCAUAAGAAUUAUAUACUUUUAAGUAUCCAACAUAUUUAAACUUGUCCUCUCAAUGUAAAUAAAAUGUAGAAAGGCAGGGCU